GACGAACGCUGGCGGCGUGCCUAACACAUGCAAGUCGAGCGAGGAGAUUCCCUUCGGGGAUUAACCUAGCGGCGGACGGGUGAGUAACACGUGGGCAACCUGCCUUAUAGAGGGGAAUAGCCUUCCGAAAGGAAGAUUAAUACCGCAUGACAUUACAUUUUCGCAUGAAGAAGUAAUUAAAGGAGUAAUCCGCUAUAAGAUGGGCCCGCGGCGCAUUAGCUAGUUGGUGAGGUAACGGCUCACCAAGGCGACGAUGCGUAGCCGACCUGAGAGGGUGAUCGGCCACAUUGGGACUGAGACACGGCCCAGACUCCUACGGGAGGCAGCAGUGGGGAAUAUUGCACAAUGGGGGAAACCCUGAUGCAGCAACGCCGCGUGAGUGAUGACGGUCUUCGGAUUGUAAAGCUCUGUCUUUAGGGACGAUAAUGACGGUACCUGAGGAGGAAGCCACGGCUAACUACGUGCCAGCAGCCGCGGUAAUACGUAGGUGGCGAGCGUUGUCCGGAUUUACUGGGCGUAAAGGGUUCGCAGGCGGAUUAUUAAGUGGGAUGUGAAAUACCCUGGCUCAACUUGGGUGCUGCAUUCCAAACUGGUUAUAUAGAGUGCAGGAGAGGAGAGUGGAAUUCCUAGUGUAGCGGUGAAAUGCGUAGAGAUUAGGAAGAACACCAGUGGCGAAGGCGAUUCUCUGGACUGUAACUGACGCUGAGGCUCGAAAGCGUGGGGAGCAAACAGGAUUAGAUACCCUGGUAGUCCUGGCCGUAAACGAUGGGUACUAGGUGUAGGAGGUAUCGACCCCUUCUGUGCCGGAGUUAACGCAAUAAGUACCCCGCCUGGGGAGUAGCGGUCGCGGGGUUAAAACUCAAAUGAAUUGACGGGGACCCGCACAAGUAGCGGAGCAUGUGGUUUAAUUCGAAGCAACGCGAAGAACGGGUACGGUGGACUUGGCAUCUCGUGCAUUACUCUUAAUCGAGGAAAUCCCUUCGGGGACAAGGUGACAGGUGGUGCAUGGUUGUCGUCAGCUCGUGCCGUGAGAGGGGGGGUUAGGUCCCGCAACGAGGGCGACCCGUAUUGGUAGUUGGUAGCAGUAAGUUGGGCAGUCUAGCGAGACUGCCCGGGUUAGCCGGGGGGAAGGUGGGGAGGACGUCAAAUCUUCAUGCGCGUGGUGUCUAGGGCUACGCAGGUGGUACGAUGGCAAGUACGAAAAGAUGCAAUGCCGCGAGGGGGAGGUAAACUUAGAGAGUUGUCUCAGUUCGGAGGGUAGGCUGGAACUCGCCUACAUGAAGCUGGAGUGGCUAGUAAUCGGGAAUCAGAAUGUCGCGGUGAAAACGUUCCCGGGCCUUGUACACACCGCCCGUCACACCAUGGGAGUUGGCAAUACCCAAAGUUCGUGAGCUAAAGGGUAAGGGAGGCAGCGACCUAAGGUAGGGU
rnacentral:rRNA from 1 species